rnacentral:tRNA from 1 species
GAAGAUACAGCUCCAUGGUGGAGCCCAUGCUUGGCAUGCACAAGGUCCUGGGUUCAAUCCCCAGUACCUCCA